UACGUAGGCAGCGAGCGUUGUUUCGGAAUUUACUGGGCGUAAAGAGUGUGUAGGCGGUGUUUCCAAGUUCGGUGUGAAAUCUCCCGGCUUAACUGGGAGGGUGCGCCGAAGACUGGAAUGCUCGAGCGUGGGAGAGGAAAGCGGAAUUCCUGGUGUAGCGGUGAAAUGCGUAGAUAUCAGGAGGAACACCAGCGGUGUAGACGGCUUUCUGGACCAUUGCUGACGCUGAGACACGAAAGCGUGGGUAGCAAACAGG
rnacentral:rRNA from 1 species